CCGGUGACCCCUGACCCCCGCUGCCGCCCCGGGACUCGGGCCCAUUCUUCUCCCGCCCCACCCACACGCGGGGGAGGGGCAGGGGACGGUGUCCCCGGGAGCGGGGCCUGCUGGGAUUGAAGGGGCGGCGCCCGCCCCCGGCAGCCGCAGCUCAGCACUGGGACGGGCUAUGCUCUGCCAGCGUCGGGGGGGGGGGCCUGGUUGUCUCUCACCCUCUUCUCCGUGCUGGGCACGGGGGCUGCUGGGUCUGACCCCUCCACAGUCUGGGUGCGUGGGGCAUGGGGAUGUAUGUGGGCCUCUUGGUAGCAACUGCCCCCCCCCCCCCCACACACACACACACACACACACACACCGGGGAGAGUAGGAGUGGUUUGUUGCUCGCUUCUUGGACGGGAGUGGGUUUUGUCGUGGACCAGGACCCUGUUGUGCCAGGCCCUGUACAGCCCAGGAAAAGAAAGAUGGUCCCUUUCCCAAAGAGCUGACAAUCUAAGCAUGAGGUGGGAAAGAACGGGUUCAGACAGAACGGGGUGCACAAGGAAAGGGCAAGAUAUUCGUUAGCAGGAUUGGCACUGGUUGCAGUACGCAAGCUGUCUACUUAUGCCCUGGUCUAUGCUACAACCUUAAGUUGGUAGAACUACAUCGCUCAGCAGUGUGGAAAAUCCACCACCCUGAGCAACAUAGUUAUACCAAUCUAGCUAUACUUUCCCAUUGUCAUAGGUAGCAUCUUCAUUAAGCCCUAUAGUGCUGCAGCUGCAGCACUAUAAAACUAUGUCUACACUAGGGACCUUAUGACACAACAACUGAACUGCUGCAGCUGUGCUGCUGUAAGGUCUCCUGUGUAGCCGCCCUAUGCCAGCAGGAGAGAGCUCUCCCAAGGACAUAAUUAAACCACCCCCAUCAAGUGGCAGUAGCUAUGUGUCUCCUGCCGACUCAGCUCUGUCCACACUGGCGCUUUUGGCAGUCGGGGUGUGGGUUUUUUUGCACCUCUGACCGACAAAAAUUUUACCAACAAAAGUGCUAGUGUAGACAUAGCCUAAGUGUAGACAAGCCCUAACUCUUGUCAAGUUUAUUAACUUCCCAAAAGUCUUGUUUCUUUUUCUUUGAAGUUUGUGUCUAUUUUUAAAAAUAAGUAUUAUGAGAUAUUCAGGUUUCAUCUGCCUUGGAUAACUACAGAGACUGGAGAACUAGUGAAAUUAUUACUUAUACCGUAUUAGCGCCCAAAGUCUUCCAGUGGGAUCAGGGACCCAUACUGUUGUGUGAAGUAAUUGCAUCUAAGAGGAUGUGCCAGUUCCUGCCCUGAAGAGUUUACAAUCUAAGGUCUCAAUCCUACAACUUGUUGUACAUUGGCAGAUUGCAGUGUUGUCAGCUCUCGUGAUUUUUGUCAGAAGUCCCAUGAAAAUUGGUGUGUUCCUUAAAGCCCUAGCUUUGGAGUCAUGGGAAUAUGAGAUUCUUCAUUUGUUUUUAUAUAAAAAUAAUCUAGCCCUUAUUGUUCAGGCAUAAAGUAUGAAAAUGUGAUCCUAGUACAUUGCAAACAUUCAAAACACAGAAGGUAAAUAAAAAGAACUCUGUUUUUGUUUUGGUUUGGUUUUAAAUCUUAUUAUUUUUAAUGCAGUUUUGUGACUUUGGUCCCUUUUUGGACAAGCAUGCACAAGUCCCUCCAAGUGACAGGGUCUCUGUGCCCACUAAUUUUAGGGGAUCCUUCUUACCCUUUUCUGACAUGGCUCAUUAAACCAUACCCUGACUUCAGAAGCUCUGGCAAAAGAAGGUUCAGUUUCAGGCUUAGUGAUUGUAGGAUGAGGAUGGAGUGCACAUUUGGCAGAAGACUCAGGGAAAGACUGUGCUGCCUUCCCAGUGUUGCCAAUAUCAUUGUGGCGUGCUGCACACUGCACAACACCUAUGAGGCACGAGGAGAGCAUCUUUGCUUGGAGUGGACUGUAAAUGUUGCUGGUUUGCAGGCCCAAUACAGCAACCAGAAAGUGCACCUGUCUUUAGUGGGGCUGGAUCCAGAUUUGACAAAACACAAAGCAGGUACCAAUGUGUACAUCAUUCAACCCAAGGUUUAAGAAUCUGAAGUGCCUUCCAAAAUCUGAGAGGGAUGAAGUGUGGAGCAUGCUUUCAGAAGUCUUAAAAGAGCAACACUCCAGUGCAGAAACUACAGAACCCGAACCACCAAAAAAGAAAAUCUACCUUCUGCUGGUAGCAUCUGACUCAGAUGAUGAAAAUGAACAUGCAUCGGUCCGCAUUGUUUUGGAUCGUUAUCGAGCAGAACCUGUCAUCAGCAUGGACACAUGUCCUCUGGAAUGGUUGACGAAGCAUGAAGGGACAUAUGAAUCUUUAGCACAUCUGGCAUGUAAAUACCUUGCAACGCUGGCUGCAACCGUGCAAUAUGAACACCUGUUCUCACUUUCAGUGACAUUGUGAACAAGAAGCAGGCAACAUUAUCUCUUGCAAAUGUAAAAAAACUUGGUUGUCUGAGUGAUGGGCUGAACAAGACUGAGUGGACUCAUAGGCUCUACAGUUUUACAUUCUUUUAUUUUUGAAUGCAGUUAUUUUUUGUACAUAAUUCUACAGUUUUAAGUUCAACUUUCAUGAUACAGAGAUGGCACUACUGUACUUAGGUGACCUGAAAAAUAUUAUUUUGUGUUUUGCAGUGCAAAUAUUUGUAAUCAAAAAUAAAUAUAAAGGGAGCACUGUACACUUUGUAUUCUGUGUUGAAAUUGAAAUCAAUAUAUUAAAAAAUGUAGAAAACA